rnacentral:rRNA from 1 species
CAGCCGCCGCGGUAAUACGAAGGGGGCUAGCGUUGCUCGGAAUUACUGGGCGUAAAGGGAGCGUAGGCGGAUCGUUAAGUUGGGGGUGAAAGCCCGGGGCUCAACCUCGGAACUGCCAUCAAUACUGGCGAUCUUGAGUAUGAGAGAGGUGUGUGGAACUCCGAGUGUAGAGGUGAAAUUCGUAGAUAUUCGGAAGAACACCAGUGGCGAAGGCGACACACUGGCUCAUUACUGACGCUGAGGCUCGAAAGCGUGGGGAGCAAACAGGAUUAGAUACCCGGGUAGUCCCUGUCUCUUAUAC